rnacentral:rRNA from 1 species
GACGAACGCUGGCGGCGUGCUUAACACAUGCAAGUCGAACGGAAAGGCCCUGCUUUUGUGGGGUGCUCGAGUGGCGAACGGGUGAGUAACACGUGAGUAACCUGCCCUUGACUUUGGGAUAACUUCAGGAAACUGGGGCUAAUACCGGAUAGGAGCUCCUGCUGCAUGGUGGGGGUUGGAAAGUUUCGGCGGUUGGGGGUGGACUCGCGGCUUAUCAGCUUGUUGGUGGGGUAGUGGCUUACCAAGGCUUUGACGGGUAGCCGGCCUGAGAGGGUGACCGGCCACAUUGGGACUGAGAUACGGCCCAGACUCCUACGGGAGGCAGCAGUGGGGAAUAUUGCACAAUGGGCGGAAGCCUGAUGCAGCAACGCCGCGUGCGGGAUGACGGCCUUCGGGUUGUAAACCGCUUUCGCCUGUGACGAAGCGUGAGUGACGGCAAUGGGUAAAGAAGCACCGGCUAACUACGUG